rnacentral:rRNA from 1 species
GACAGAGGGUGCAAACGUUGUUCGGAUUUACUGGGCGUAAAGCGUGUGUAGGCGGCUUCGCAAGUUGGAUGUGAAAUCCCACGGCUCAACCGUGGACGUGCAUCCAAAACUGCGUCGCUAGAGUCUCGGAGAGGAAGGUGGAAUGCUUGGUGUAGAGGUGAAAUCGUAGAUAUCAAGCAGAACACCUGCGGCGAAGGCGGCCUUCUGGACGAUGAC